GACAGAGGAUGCAAGCGUUAUCCGGAAUGAUUGGGCGUAAAGCGUCUGUAGGUGGCUUUUUAAGUCCGCCGUCAAAUCCCAGGGCUACCACCGUGACAGGCGGUGGAAACUACCAAGCUGGAGUACGGUAGGGGCAGAGGGAAUUUCCGGUGGAGCGGUGAAAUGCGUAGAGAUCGGAAAGAACACCAACGGCGAAGGCACUCUGCUGGGCCGACACUGACACUGAGAGACGAAAGCUAGGGGAGCAAAUGGG
rnacentral:rRNA from 1 species